GACGAACCGAGCAAACGUUAUUCGGAAUCACUGGGCUUAAAGAGUUCGUAGGCGGCACGUUAGGUGGGGUGUGAAAUCCCUCGGCCCAACCGAGGAAUGGCGCUCCAAACCGGCGUGCUUGAGGAAGGUAGAGGUGAGCGGAACUGAUGGUGGAGCGGUGAAAUGCGUUGAUAUCAUCAGGAACACCGGAGGCGAAGGCGGCUCACUGGGCCUUUUCUGACGCUGAGGAACGAAAGCUAGGGUAGCGAACGGG
rnacentral:rRNA from 1 species